GUGAAGCCGAAGUUUGGGGUGAUUAGCCUUAUCUCGUUAAAUUUUGUUCAGCAUGAAACAGUCUGACCAGCAAUCCUCGAUUUUGUCAACAAUCUAAAACGUGCUAAGGAGUAGUCAUUCGUCGAUUUACCUGCGGUUUCCAGAUGAUCUGAAGAUCGGGAUUAUAGAAAAUAUUGUCAAUUUGAUAUUGCUAAUGACCCAGUCAUGUCUGCUGAAGCCCAGAAGUUUCCAGACCAUGACAUUAAUGAAUAUUUCUUGAAUGGAAUGCAUGAGGAUUAGAACGGAACCUUAUUCUGCCUUUUUACCAACUCACACCAUCUUUUCAAGAUUUAUGGAGCCAACCACAGAAGAAUUUGUUCUAUACACAUCAUUCAUAACAUUCUUAUUUAUGUUGCAUAACUUUAAAUGUUACUGGAUGAAUUGUGUUCACAUAAUGAAUACCAGCAAACUUUUUAUCGAGUGCACUUAAUUUGUAUUUUUCCUACCCAUCCAUCUAACAUAUGUUUUUAUAUAACAUAUUCAUAUACAUGUAACAUUUUUGAAAACAGCUAUUUUUUUUAAAAUUGGAAUUAAGCCUUACCGGUACUAUUUUAUACAAGUUUUUUUUAAAGGGACUUGGACACGAUUUUAGAUCAAAAUUUUGUUUUCAAUUUCUUUAUGCAUAAAAUGAUUUACCUGCACAUUUUGAAUAAUUGACCAUAAUUUGAAUGUUAGAAGUCAAGUUAUAAGAGAGAUACAGGGGUAAGAAUUUAUUGUUAUGUAAACAAAGUUCGAGUCUUAUGUUUGUUUACAAAUAAUAUAAAGUAUGAAAUUACCAAUUCUUUGAGAAAAUGAUUCAUAGAAAAGAAGGUAAACUGAUUCGAUGUGAUCAUAAAUGAUAUUAUUAAUAGAAAAAAGCAACAUUUGAAUUAAACGUACACCAAUAAAACACAUAUGUAAAUAAUAACAAGACUCGCGCUUUGUUUACAAAACAAAGAAUAUUUAAUUUUUUAUCUCUCUUUUAACUCAGUAUUUGACUUUCAAAUUUUGACAAAGCAUUAAAAAUAUCCAUAUCAACCAUUCUAAAUAUUGAAAAUGGAAAUAUAAAAUUUUGAAUUUUAAGCUCAAAUCGUGUCGAAGUCCCUUGAAUAUACUCUUUUGUAUACAAACAGAACAAAAAAUACUUAAUUACAAUGGGAAAUAGACAUAAUAUAUAUAUAUAAGUGUCUGAUAAAAGUAUAGGUCUUGUUUUUGAACAGAAGAAAUUGACAGAAAAAUAUUCUGUUUUA